GAUUACACCAAACAUACCAUGACCAAAUUUCUGAAAAUCUGUGAGAAAUGGAAAAAAUCUUAAGCCAGAUUUUAAAAUGGCAUAAUACUUAUGUAGAUAUCAAGAUAAUUCCAUAGAAUUCUCGUUAUAAACUGAAAGCCAGAAGUAAAAAUGACAACUUCAAAAUGCUGAAUGAUGAGAAAGAAAACCUGUCAAUUCAGAAUUCUACAUCAAAAUUAUCUUUAAUAUGUUAAGGUAAUAAUAAAUAUUUUUUUAUGCAGAAAUGGUAUGAGAGAAGAGAAAUAAUUUCAGAGCUAUGCUAAAAAAUUAAGAGUCUUGGAAGUGCUAAAGGUAACAUUAAGUUCAGAAUCGAAGCCACAGAGUACAAGGGAUUGAUUUGCAGCAAAGCUGAUAACCCUCCAUUUUGGAAUGAAGCAUGGACAGAAAGAAGGCAAGUAUUCUUACCUUACAUUCACUAUAUAUUCAUUAGUAAAACUUUGGCUUGUGAUCCUCCAAAUGAGAAAUUAAUGAUAUAAAAAUAAUCACUACAUUAGAAUUGAAUUAUGUUCAAACUUUAUUUUGUUUAUGAGAAAGUUUAAGAUAGUUUAUCGUUAGCAAACCUAGAGAGGCUACCUAAAUGAGGAUACCUUUAGAGGAUACCUAAAUAAAGAUUAGUACCUU
rnacentral:lncRNA from 1 species